GACGAACGCUGGCGGCGUGCCUAAUACAUGCAAGUUGAGCGAUGAAGAUUGGUGCUUGCACCAAUUUGAAGAGCAGCGAACGGGUGAGUAACGCGUGGGGAAUCUGCCUUUGAGCGGGGGACAACAUUUGGAAACGAAUGCUAAUACCGCAUAACAACUUUAAACAUAAGUUUUAAGUUUGAAAGAUGCAAUUGCAUCACUCAAAGAUGAUCCCGCGUUGUAUUAGCUAGUUGGUGAGGUAAAGGCUCACCAGGGCGAUGAUACAUAGCCGACCUGAGAGGGUGAUCGGCCACAUUGGGACUGAGACACGGCCCAAACUCCUACGGGAGGCAGCAGUAGGGAAUCUUCGGCAAUGGACGAAAGUCUGACCGAGCAACGCCGCGUGAGCGAAGAAGGUUUUCGGAUCGUAAAACUCUGUUGGUAGAGAAGAACGUUGGUGAGAGUGGAAAGCUCAUCAAGUGACGGUAACUACCCAGAAAGGGACGGCUAACUACGUG
rnacentral:rRNA from 1 species